CUCGGCUGAUUGCCUCAUUUUUGUAUCUGAGCUGGCGAAUACGUUUGUGUGUGCGUGUGUUGGCUUACAGCGACUAGUAUUAUUCGGAUUAUUUUAUUACUGUAUGUUCGAAAACAUCAUUUUCAUUUGCCAGAAAUUAAGAAUUCAAUUACCUGAUCAGUCACGCGCCUAGACCAAUCGGUCAGUGAGCACUCCCUUAAAAGGUAAUGCAAUUUGCAUGUACAGUACGUGCUAUAUUCUUCCGAAUAAAAAGUUCGACCAGAUAAGGGCAAUAUCUGCAACCGGGCCAGCCAAUCAGUUGUAUGAAAUUACUUAUUAAGUACGAUACUCAUUUCGUAGUUAAUGACGCGAUUAUUAUUGGUUAACCUUUGCACUAGCUACAUUUUAUACAACCUGCCCCAUAGUGAAAACCAUACUACGCAAUCAGAUUUGCAUCACUGAUUAGGCCUAUAUAACUUGACUUUGAUAUGGUUUCCACAUUUCAAUAUUUGGCGCAGAUACUGUACAUGUAGGCUUAACGUACCUAUUUUUCCCUGAGAAAUAAAGACGACAUCGAUUGAUUCAAGACUUCAUUGAGAGAUCCCUGACAACCGUGGGCAAUUUCCACAACGAUUGAUUUAUUUGAG